rnacentral:rRNA from 1 species
GGACUUGCUCCCUGAUGUUACGGCGGACGGGUGAGUACACGUGGGUACCUGCCUGUAAGACUGGGAUAACUCCGGGAAACCGGGGCUAAUACCGGAUGGUUGUUUGAACCGCAUGGUUCAAACAUAAAAGGUGGCUUCGGCUACCACUUACAGAUGGACCCGCGGCGCAUUAGCUAGUUGGUGAGGUAACGGCUCACCAAGGCAACGAUGCGUAGCCGACCUGAGAGGGUGAUCGGCCACACUGGGACUGAGACACGGCCCAGACUCCUACGGGAGGCAGCAGUAGGGAAUCUUCCGCAAUGGACGAAAGUCUGACGGAGCAACGCCGCGUGAGUGAUGAAGGUUUUCGGAUCGUAAAGCUCUGUUGUUAGGGAAGAACAAGUACCGUUCGAAUAGGGCGGUACCUUGGACGGUACCUAACCAGAAAGCCACGGCUAACUACGUGCCAGCAGCCGCGGUAAUACGUAAGUGGCAACGUUGUCGA